rnacentral:rRNA from 1 species
UCCUACGGGAGGCAGCAGUGGGGAAUAUUGCACAAUGGGGGGAACCCUGAUGCAGCCAUGCCGCGUGUGUGAAGAAGGCCUUCGGGUUGUAAAGCACUUUCAGUUGUGAGGAAAGGUUAGUAGUUAAUACCUGCUAGCUGUGACGUUAGCAACAGAAGAAGCACCGGCUAACUCCGUGCCAGCAGCCGCGGUAAU